rnacentral:rRNA from 1 species
UACGUAGGGUGCGAGCGUUGUCCGGAAUUAUUGGGCGUAAAGGGCUCGUAGGCGGUCUGUUGCGUCGGGAGUGAAAACCGGGGCUUAACCCUGAGCCUGCUUCCGAUACGGGCAGACUAGAGGUAUGCAGGGGAGAACGGAAUUCCUGGUGUAGCGGUGAAAUGCGCAGAUAUCAGGAGGAACACCGGUGGCGAAGGCGGUUCUCUGGGCAUUACCUGACGCUGAGGAGCGAAAGUGUGGGGAGCGAACAGG